AUUGAACGCUGGCGGAAUGCUUUACACAUGCAAGUCGAACGGCAGCACGGGUGCUUGCACCUGGUGGCGAGUGGCGAACGGGUGAGUCACAUAUCGGAACGUGCCCAGUAAUGGGGGAUAACUCACCGAAAGGUUAGCUAAUACCGCAUACGCCCUGAGGGGGAAAGCGGGGGAUCGCAAGACCUCGCGUUAUUGGAGCGGCCGAUAUCUGAUUAGCUAGUUGGUGGGGUAAAGGCCUACCAAGGCGACGAGCAGUAGCAGGCCUGAGCGGAUGAUACGCCACACUGGAACUGAGCCGCGGAACAGCCUCCUGCGGGAGGCAGCAGUGGGGAGUUUUGACCAAGGGGGAACACCCUGUUCCAGCCAUUACGCGUGAGGAAAGAGGGCCUCCGGGUGGUAAAGCUCUUUCGGCAGCGAAGGGACGGUUCUGGGUAAGACCCGGAGCGAAUGACGGUACCUGAAAAAGAAGCAGCGUCUAGCUACGGGCCAGCAGCCGCCGUAA
rnacentral:rRNA from 1 species